rnacentral:ncRNA from 1 species
AAAAUUUUUUAUGGUUUAAAAAAUUUAUUAUAAAUUUAUUUUACAUAUAAAUUUUAGUGUAUAUUUUUAGUUAUUUUAAAAAUAAUUAAAUUGUUAGUUAUAGUAAUUAAUUUUAAAAAUUUAAGAAAUUAAGAUUUAGUAAUAUUUAAAUUAAUAACAAAUUUUGUGCCAGCAGUUGCGGUUAAACAAAAAUUAAAUUAAAUUUUUUUAGUAAUUAAUAAAUAUAAAUAUAAUUAAAUUUAAAUUAAAAAUUAUUAAGUGAAAUUUUAAUUUUUAAAAAAAAAUAAUAUUAAUAUGAAUUAAUAAAUUAAAAAAUAAACUAGGAUUAGAUACCCUAUUAUUGAAAUUUAAAUAAAUAAUACUAAAAUAGUAUUUAUUAAUAUAUUGAAACUUAAAUAAUUUGGCGGUAUUUUAGUUCAUUUAGAGGAAUCUGUUAGGUAAUUGAUAAUCCACGAAUAAAUUUACUUAAUUUUUAAUUUUGUAUAUCGUUGUUAAAAAAAUAUUUUUAAAUAAUAAUAAUAUUUAAUAUUUAAAAUAAUAAAAUAAAUCAGAUCAAGAUGCAGAUUAUAAUUAAGAAUAUAAUGGAUUACAAUAAAUUUAUUUAUAUAGAUAUUAAAAUGAAAAAUUUAAUUGAAAGUGGAUUUAAAUGUAAUUUUUUUAAAUUUUUAAAAAUGAUUGAAAUUUAAAAUAUGUACACAUCGCCCGUCGCUUUCAUAUAUAAAUUGAAAUAAGUCGUAACAAAGUAGAAGUACUGGAAAGUGUUUCUAGAAAGAA